rnacentral:rRNA from 1 species
GUGAGUAACGCGUGAGAAUCUGCCUUCAGGAUGGGGACAACAGUUGGAAACGACUGCUAAUACCCGAUAUGACGAAAGUUGAAAGAUUAUCGCCUGGAGAUGAGCUCGCGUCAGAUUAGCUAGAUGGUGUGGUAACGGCGCACCAUGGCGACGAUCUGUAGCUGGUCUGAGAGGAUGAGCAGCCACACUGGGACUGAGACACGGCCCAGACUCCUACGGGAGGCAGCAGUGGGGAAUUUUCCGCAAUGGGCGCAAGCCUGACGGAGCAAUACCGCGUGAGGGAGGAAGGCUCUUGGGUCGUAAACCUCUUUUCUCAGGGAAGAACAAAAUGACGGUACCUGAGGAAUCAGCAUCGGCUAACUCCGUGCCAGCAGCCGCGGUAAUACGGAGGAUGCAAGCGUUAUCCGGAAUGAUUGGGCGUAAAACGUCCGUAGGUGGUUAUGUAAGUCUGUGGUUAAAGCGUGGGGCUCAACCCCAUAAGGGCCAUGGAAACUACAAGACUUGAGUAAAGUAGGGGUAGAGGGAAUUCCCAGUGUAGCGGUGAAAUGCGUAGAGAUUGGGAAGAACACCGGUGGCGAAAG